GUCCACGCCUUAAACGAUGAGUGCUAGAUGUCGCGGGCAUUGACCCCUGCGGUGUCGUAGCUAACGCAUUAAGCACUCCGCCUGGGGAGUACGGCCGCAAGGCUAAAACUCAAAGGAAUUGACGGGGGCCCCGCACAAGCGGUGGAGCAUGUGGUUUAAUUCGACGCAACGCGCAGAACCUUACCUGGGCUAGAAAUGGCAGGAACCUGGGUGAAAACUCGGGGUGCUCUUCGGAGAAUCUGUCGUUAGGUGCUGCAUGGCUGUCGU
rnacentral:rRNA from 1 species